GUGAGGAAUAUUGGUCAAUGGGCGAGAGCCUGAACCAGCCAAGUCGCGUGAAGGAAGAAGGAUCUAUGGUUCGUAAACUUCUUUUGCAGGGGAAUAAAGUGCGGGACGUGUCCUGUUUUGUAUGUACCCUGAGAAUAAGGAUCGGCUAACUCCGUGCCAGCAGCCGCGGUAAUACGGAGGAUCCGAGCGUUAUCCGGAUUUAUUGGGUUUAAAGGGUGCGUAGGUGGUUUGAUAAGUCAGCGGUGAAAGUUUGCAGCUUAACUGUAAAAAUGCCGUUGAAACUGUCGGACUUGAGUGUAAAUUAGGUAUGCGGAAUGCGUGGUGUAGCUGUGAAAUGCAUAGAUAGCACGCAGAACUCCGAUUGCGAAGGCAGCUUACUAAGCUACAACUGACACUGAAGCACGAAAGCGUGGGGAUCAAACAGGAUUAGAAACCCGAGUAGUCC
rnacentral:rRNA from 1 species